rnacentral:rRNA from 1 species
GAUGAACGCUGGCGGCGUGCCUAAUACAUGCAAGUCGAGCGAACGGACGAGAAGCUUGCUUCUCUGAUGUUAGCGGCGGACGGGUGAGUAACACGUGGAUAACCUACCUAUAAGACUGGGAUAACUUCGGGAAACCGGAGCUAAUACCGGAUAAUAUUUUGAACCGCAUGGUUCAAAAGUGAAAGACGGUCUUGCUGUCACUUAUAGAUGGAUCCGCGCUGCAUUAGCUAGUUGGUAAGGUAACGGCUUACCAAGGCAACGAUGCAUAGCCGACCUGAGAGGGUGAUCGGCCACACUGGAACUGAGACACGGUCAAGACUCCUACGGGAGGCAGCAGUAGGGAAUCUUCCGCAAUGGGCGAAAGCCUGACGGAGCAACGCCGCGUGAGUGAUGAAGGUCUUCGGAUCGUAAAACUCUGUUAUUAGGGAAGAACAUAUGUGUAAGUAACUGUGCACUUCUUGACGGUACCUAAUCAGAAAGCCACGGCUAACUACGUG